GAAGAGGCAUCUCGUAAGGCUCGACUAAAUGGGCCCCCUCUAGGGAAACCUUGAGGUGCGCAUUCGCCAAAUUCGGAGAAAUCCUCUCUUGUAAAAGAAGGACAAUUCCGAGCUAAAUUUUCUGGCUUAGGCUGGAAAUAAAUGUGUAGAGACUAGAUGGCGAACUCCUUAAUCUUUGAUUUAAGAAAGGAGAUGGUAUAGUCCAGACCACAAAUCCGCCAACCGGCGGAG
rnacentral:ncRNA from 1 species